rnacentral:lncRNA from 1 species
UUACACUCAACCCUGAUCUCAGAAUUUUGAAGACUUAAAACACAAUUUGAACAUAAACAUGAAUACAACAAACUUUAAAGGAAAAAAAAAAUAGUUGAGUGUAUAAUUCUCCACUUUAUUCUUAUGAAUAAACACCUCAAAAUUGCUACUUAGUAUUGCCGAAAUGCCCUGCAUGUUAUCCAUAUAAGAUAAACACUUAGAAAAUCAAGAGUGAUAUAUGUUUCACAUCACUUAAAGUGUAUAACAAUAUCAAUGUAUAAAAUAAGCACACAAAGAUACAUUCAGAACAAUUGCUCUAGUCAUGGUUUAUAUUCAACUUACGAAGAAUAAAUUUUCCUUACUUUAAUACGUCUUGUCACAAUAAUAGGUUCGCAUAUUCUAUUACAUAAUAAUCAUGUUUCAAUCAUUUUAUUUUUAACCUCAUUGUAUUCCUAUGUAUCAUACUUUCUACUUGACUAAUAGUUUAUCGUUUGCAAAAAAAAAAAAAAAAAUCUUAGUGGUCUAUCACUAGUUUAUAAUCACCAGGUCUUUAUAUAAGAUUAAAAUCAAAGAUACUCACAUGAUAGUUUAAUCAUACAAUAUAACUUAACACACACUUUGAGAGAACUAAUGUAGGCUUAAUUUCAUUACAAUAACAAUAAAAUAUGGAUAUUUUUUAGCACAAUAUUUUCCAUUAUAUUGAAAUUCCUAUUUCAUCUCCUUUAAAUUCACCACAUAAAAUAAAUAUUAUAAUUCACAUAAAUUCAUCACCUAUAUCACACUAGGAAAUCUAAUCAUCAUAUAUUACCUAGGUAAAAUUUAUCAAAUAAUCCUACAAUCCUAAACAUGUUGAAUUUAACUAAACUUUAAAUAUUUAAUAAUUGAUAAUAACCAUGAACAAUUUAUUUAAAAUGUCAAAACCACAAAGCAUGGAUGAAACUAGGAUCAGGGCCAUACCCUUCAUCCAGUACAAUUGGUGUAUUCACUAGGCGAAAUAAUAUCUCUUUUACCUAAAUGAAGAUAGUAAUACCCCUUUUAAUCAAUUUAUCCCUUCUUUUAAAUUCCUAAUGAUUUGGAGAUUUUUUCACAAUAAAGUCUGAUUAAGGAAAAUUUACGUUGUAUUGGUUUCUAUAUGGUUCUCAAGUGUAAUUUUGUUUUCAAGAUUUUUUCACAACUUAUAUUAAUGUUCUGAUGCAUAUCUAUAAAAAAUUUGGUAACCACGACGUAAGAUUGUAAUUAUUGUUGCGAUUAUGAUUUUUUUUCAAUGUUAUCUAGUUUUGCAAAAACACUAAUUUGUUUGACAACAAGAAUAUGUGUUUUAGUCCAUCUUCUAAUUUGGUGUGCUAGAAUACUUUUCUUGUUGUUUAACAUACCAAGUGCUUUUCUUACACUUCUAUGUAUCAAUUUGUAAUUGUUAUGGAAUGUUUAGCUCAAAUUCAUUCACCUAUUGCCCCUUGUAUAAGUAAGUUCUUCGACAUCCUCUUGUGUUUUUUUUUUUUUUUUUUUUUUGCGUUAAGUGUAACAUUGAUGGCAUUGAUAAAGUCUUCACAUGAUCACUUGCUUCUAAAGGAGUUUUUAAACGUAAAAAAGUAUACUUCAAAGCUUUGUUUCCUUGAACUUAAACAUUAGUACUAAUUUUCAAAACGAGCUCCAUGGUGAUAUCAUUUAUGUUCACAUUGCAUCUAAUAAAAUUGGCAUUGUCUUUAUUUGGAGACUGACCAAAAGAUUGUUAAUUUGACUUUCAAAAAUCAAGUCACUGUUUCAUGGACUCAAAGAAACAUGUGGUUGAAUUUUAUUGAUCUAUAAAAGAACAUAAAUUUAUGUUUAGAUAAAAUCUCAUCAAUUGGUUUUUAACAUACAAAUUUAGUGUAGUUGGAUGACAUUCCUUCUAGUAUUUUGGAUCCAUAUACCAGUAAUAGAUUAGGAUUUUUUAAGUUUAUUUUUCUUUUAUGGAUGAUUUGUCAUGGAUUUUCUAUUUCAUGUGCUGUUUAUUUUCUUUACACUCCUUCCCUUUCUCAGGACUUAUCCCAUUCAGUUUUCUUAAGAAAGUAUAUAAUGAGGGCUUUAUGUCUAGAAUAUAAAGGACGGUUUACUGGUGUUGGUUUAAGAAAAUGUAUUGUUAGAUAUAAGGGUUUUAAAGAUAAUCCAGACUUGAUGUUAUUAUAAAAAUAUUGGAAGGACUUGGAUAAAGGGUGUGACAAUAGUCUAAGGUUAUUGAGUAAAUUAAUGUUUGAGAUAUUAUUAAUAGGGAUGUGCAGAAACAUGUGACCCGCCUGAAAACCGAGGAACCCGAUAGUGGAAAAAACAAACUCGGUGGGUUGAAAGGGGAUCAAACGGGUUACAAUAUUCAAUCUCAAACAGUGGUUAACGGAUAGACGCAGGUUUGGAAAAUUUGAUCAAUCGAUAUCCACAACCGACCGAAUACAUGGGUGAUUAUAAAAGCAUGCCUUGUUCAAUCAUAGUUUUUAUAAAAGCAUGCCUAUUUAUCUAAACCUGUAAACCACACCUACUUCUUUUUCUUCAUAUCUACAAAAGCACUGUAUCCAUAGAAUUAAAGCACCCAUUACUGAGUAUAUCUAUGACACGUUUAAUUAGAGUCAAAGUGAAAAUGACAUGUUCAACUUUUCAUUACACUACCAUAUUAAAAAUUAAUACUUAAUUCAUCUUGUUCUUUUAUACAUAUUUGAAGCCAUGUUGAGAUAAAGUUAUCUGAACUUCUUUUUCUCCCUUCACAACCUUUCCUUCUUCGUGAUCUCUCUAUGAAGCACCUCUUCCUUUAUUUUCCAUUCUUAUAAAAAAGGUUGUUGUGCAGAAAGCUUAAACCAAUACUUUCUAUUGAGUUCAUGCUCUCUCUUUCUAUAAGCAUUCUGUUUUUUCUUCUAUAUGAUCUCAGAGAUGAAGAUAAUGCAUCAUCACUUCUCUAUUUUUGUUUUAGUUAAAUCCCGAAUAAACCCACCCGUAGAAAUCCGUGAUCCGCACAGCCCAUAACCCGUCAAAGCCGAAGCUUGAAAUUGUCAUAAUUGGUUUUGAGUUUUGCACUCUAGGUUUGAUUCGGGUGAGCCAUUUUUGACCCAAACCCGACCGAACCCGUACGGUGCUCAACCCUAAUUAUUAAGUUAUAAGAUGGUAUAUGAAAUAAUUGUGCAUAUGAUUUGAGUUUCCACAACCUAAAAGGAUUAUUGACUAAGAGGCUCAUAUAGUUAGUUUUUGUAAGUGAUAUAUAUGUUCAAUUUUAUGUGUAUCAGCACACUUGUUUCUUAUUUCCUAGUCAUUUAGAAUGAUGUUAUUAUGAUUAUUAUUGUUAACAUGUCUAUACGACACUUAUGUAGGUUAUUAUUUGCUUGAGAAAUGUAUUAUUAUGAUUAUUAUUAUUAUUAUUAUUAUUACGUACAUAAAUGGAUAAAACUGUAGUAGGUUAUCCUAAUAUUAAAUAUUGGUGACAUUUAACAUCUAGACUCCAUGAUAAGUUAUGCUGCAUUUUAGAAGAGUUUAUGACAAAAUUGUGGAAUCAAUGUUAGAUAGUAUCAAUACUAGCAUAAAGUUUAGAAUAAAUUAAGUAGUUAGGAACUGAUCAGAAAAUUUAUUAAGUCAUUUGUAUUAUGUAUUAUGUAUUUUGAAUAUUGUCAUGACAAGUACCUUGUGGUUUCUUAUAUAUUUGUAGACACCUUUCUACUUGUUAUAAAUAAAUAUUUAUGCACUUAAAACACAUCUAUAUAAUUAUUCCAUGGUAUUUAAGUUUAAAUUCCUUCGUAUUUUUCUCCUUAUGUAAGCAAGUUAGAUUAACUAAUUUAUUUUCCAUUGGAACAUUUGGUUUUCUCAAACAGAAUCUAAUCAAAAGGAAUGCUAUGAUUGACUCAAAGAUGUGAUUUUACUUACUUAUAUUCCUUUUUAUGAUGUUUCUAGAAUCUUAUCUCAUUUAUGUUACGCCUCAUAUGUUCUCUUUUCUAUUAGAUCUCAACCAUGAACAGUCUAUGGUUGUAGAUAGAGUGCUUCAUUGAUUUCUUUUUCAACUAACGGUAGAUGUGUGAUAACCGGCAAAUAAGUUGGUUAUCACGUUGCACUUAGCCCGUGUAACGCUUUAAUUGUUAUUUAAUUAUUUUUAGUUGAUUUAAAGUUUUUUAUAUGAUUUUAAAUGAUUUAUGUUGAUUUUGAGGUGUGAUGUAUUUUAUUAAAUGACAAUUUUCAUUAUUUAAUAGAAUAAGUGAGAAUUAGGAUUUAAUUGGAGUUUUGGGGUUAAAUGAGAAUUAAGUGAAUUAAGUGGGAGUUAAUUAAAUAUUGGAAGGUUAUAUUUAUUGAAAAAAAUUAGAAAAUAUAAGUCAGAAGCAGUUUUCACGUACAACAGAGUUUUGGGAGAAAAACCGAGAAGAGCCAAGUGGGAGAAUCAGAUUCCGUAGAGCUUUGUUCAUCGAUCUAAGGUAAGGGUGGGACUAACUUUCUCUAAUAAUGAGUUGUAUAAUUUUGAAAAAGGGUUUAACAUCGUUGGUGUUGUUUUGUUAAUUUUGAUUGUUGAAAAAUUAAGUUUUGAAACUAAAAUUGAUUGUUGAAAGAGUAGGUAACCAUUGAAUUAACGUAAGGGGGGAGUCUCUAUUCAUCAUAAGGGUUGUAUGAACAUGUGGGUAGCGAAGGGUUUGUGUUAUUCCUUUUCAUAUCUUUUAACAAGUUCAUGUUAAAUUUGUGUUCUCAUAUGUUGUUGUGAUUAUAUGUUUAAUGUUGUUGUGAUUAUAUGUUUAAUUGUCGUUUCUAAAUUGUGAUGUUUCAUAUUAAAUUCAUGAUUAAUAAUGAUUAUUUGUGUAUUUUUGGAAUAGUGAUCGAUCAUAUUGUUGUUUUGUGCGUGAGACAUUGGUGAAUUUUAUUGUUCCAUUGAAUCAUAUAAAUUCAAAAAUUCUCUUGCUUCGUUUAUAAUUGUCUUGAUUCUGUAAUAUAUGAUGCUUCGUAGGAACAUGUGACUUCUAUUAUUAAUGUGUUUUGUGUGAAUCUUCUCAUAUUAAUCAUGGGGCUUUUGGGGACGGAGGGUUUACACAUGGUUAGAUAAUAUAAAAGCUAAUUUCACAACCUUAAAGGAGUAUCAUGUUAUCUAGUAUAAUAGGUAGUUGGAGUCCCUUUUGCUGUUAAAAACUCCUAGACAAUAUAAUUAAAUUCACUCAAUGGUUUUUCCUAUUUAUCCCACACUUUUAUUUAAUUUUCUUAAAAUUUAGAUAGGUGAUUCUUUUACUAACAAAAAGGAAUAUAUAAGUCUCAUAUGUAUGAUCCGUUUUUACUUAUGGUUAUAGGCUUAGAUCUUUGUGCGUCGUAGUUACAGUGCUUGAUUAUUUUCUUAUAUAAAAAGAAAGAAAAGAGAAUUCACAAGGAUCGUUAAGAACGAGAAAAUGUAGGUGGAAUAGGUACUUUAGAUUAGAAUUUUAACAGAAUGAAACAUUCAAUUUCCUGUUUAUUACAAGGUAUAUUUAAUAAUGAUGAAUUAUUUGAUAAGGUGUGCUAAUGAAUUGAUUGAUGAAUUAUUAUAUGAAUAUUUUUUAUUGAUGAAUUAUUAUAUUAUGAUGCAAAGUCGUUGUUGUUGUUGUUGCCGCUGUUGUCGUCAAUGUCGUUAAAGUAGUAAGUUGCUGUUCUAAGUUGUUGAAGUUCUCCUAAGUGGUUAAUGUUGUCUAAAUUGUUGAAGUCGUAGUUGAAGUAGUUGUUAUUGGUGACAUUUUUAUGUUCAAGUGUUUGUGAGAGGUGGUGUACUCUUACUUGUCGUUUUUAUAAGAGGUGGUGUACUCUUACUUUGUCGUUUAUAAGAGACGGUGUACUCUUACUUGUCGUUUUUAUAAGAGGUGGUGUACUCUUACUUGUCAUUUUUAUAAGAGGUGAUGUACUCUUACUUUGUCGUUUUAUAAGAGGUGGUGUACUCUUACUUGUUAUUUUUAUAAGAGGUGGUGUACUCUUACUUGUCAUUUUUAUAAGAGGUGGUGUACUCUUACUUUGUCGUUUUAUAAGAGGUGGUGUACUCUUACUUGUUGUUUUUAUAAGAGGUGGUGUACUCUUACUUUGUCGUUUUUAUAAGAGGUGGUGUAUUCUUACGUUGUUGUGUUAUAAGAGGUUGUGUACUCUUACGUUGUUGAGUUAUGAGAGGUGGUGUACUCUCACGUUGUUUAUGUUGUUGAAUAUGAGGUUGUUAUGAUGUUAAAUGAUGAGGAUUAUGAUUAAGAUGUUGAUUAUGAUGUUAAAUGAUGCUGUUAUUAUGUUGUUUAUGAUAUCGAGUUAUGACUGUUGAUAUGGUUUAUGAGUCGUUUAAAGAAUUAUUAUUACUAAUUGAUGGAGUUUAAGUUGUUAGAUGCAUUUGAUGAAUUAAAUGCUUAUUAUUAUUGUUUGUGAAAUCUCACCCCUUCUGCUUGAAAAUGUUGCCCUUCGUAUGGGUAACUUGCAGGUAAUAAAGAUUAGUAGGAGUGGUGGCUCAAGUGUCUUAGGGCUCUGAUACGUAACGGGAUGGGAAAUUGUUGCUAUAUUUAUCAUUCCUUUAUGUAUCAAUUUUGGAACAUGUUGUUGAAGAUUUUAUUAUCGUUGAAUUAAUUCCGCUGCAAAGUUUUAAUUAUUAAGUUGUUGAAAUUUGAAGGAUAAUUAUUUAAUUAUUCCAUUUAUGAUUUUUAAGAAAAUAAGUGUAACAUUCCGUUUAAGGUGUUUUACUCUGAUUAAUUUAUGAAAUUUUUAUGUUGGGAAAACGGGGUGUUACAUAAUGGAAAAGUAAUUUAGUGAUUGCAAUACCUUAAACAUCUUAUCAGUGUCUAUUUUAGGAUUUUAUAGUUUUAAGUAUUUUUAGUACUUUGGAACUAGUAAUUCUUGUUUAUGAUAUUUGAUGAUGUAAGUUAAGGAAUGACUCUAAAGAUGUGGGAAGCUGCAACAUGGAUUGAAAAUGUAUCGCUGAAGAUGUGGAAAGUUGCAAUAUCUUGGGACUCUAGCCGGGUCGUACAUAGUACGAGUACGUGGGUCCAAUUUGUCCAUUUCUUAAUAAGGAAGAAUAUGAGUUGUCCCCAAUUAUUGGAAUCCUAGGAAGAAUAAAGGAAUUUGUCAAUGGGUAGGUAGGAUCGGAUAAGGACGGAUGGAUAAGGACAACCCAUGUAAAAUGACCAAAGAGUACAACUUGUAGAAAGUGGCCUUGUACUAUAAAUGGACACACAUGUGUUAGUGCAAAGGGUCCGAAAAUUUACCUUAGAAUUGGAGAGCCCAAGUUAUGGCUAGGGUUAGAAGUUUUAGAGAUCCAAUUCCAUUUUAUCUCUUCCGUAGAUGAGUAUGGUAGCUAGAUUAUAGUAGAUUACUUGGUGAUGCUUUGGCUCACCUUAUUCCUUCAAGGAUUGUAAUCUUAUGACAACUCUAUCUAAUCUAUCAAUUUAGUUUUCUAUGUUUUCAUUUAUGUUCAUCUUAAUUUCCAUUUCAAUGGUUCAACUCACCUUGAACUAAACCUCUUCUAGUGGUUUAGACAUGGUGAGAUUAUGAUUUAUUUAUUUACUUGUGAUAUAUAAAGUUGUAGUGCCGUGCUUUACUAUACCAAACUGUUUUAACUCAAAAUCUUUAGAAAUAACAUUUUGAUCACUUUUAUUUCUAAUGUUAUAGGUCCUUGAUCCCGACAUGGUAUGGGAGUGGAAAAUAUUUGUUAGACUUGGUUUUGGCCUUAAGCACCACACCAGUGAAAGGAUCAAGAAGGUCUACUUGAGUUGAUUAUCUUGAACAUAAAAGAGCCUUGAAGUUAUAGCUCUGUGAAUCUCAAUUCACUUAAGAGGUUAAUAAAUGGCCAUAGUGCUAAGUCACAAAAUUUAUACCACGCUAUUUCUAAGCGCUAUGUCCUCGGUAGGAAUCUUUUCAUAUGGUACAUAGGACCGAUAGCUUCAUACCUUAGGCAGGAAUGACCGGACACCUGAACCUAGCAAAUGUUGCAUGUUAAGUCUAGCGAUCGAGCCUGAGUGUCAUCCCGACCUUAACAUGAUGGAUGAGGAAACACUCCCUAAGACCAAUUGGUUCGCUAGGAAGCCGAUUAAUUAGAGAUAUAGCUCUAUGGAUCACAGAGUUGCGAGCGACUAAUAAACAGUUGUAGUCCUGUGAGAUAUUGAAGCUAUAUAAGGAUAUAGCCCUGUGUAUCGCAGAGACUAAAUUUGCUUUGAACCGGCUAUAGCUCUAAGAGACACUUGAAGUUAUACCUAAGUUAUAGCUAUGUAAAUCGCAGUAAUGUUUUAUCAUAGCUGAACCUAGAUCUAAACUACAAUUUUCAUCUUGAGAUUUUCUAAAGACUUUAACUGCAUUCCGAAACUUAACCUUUUACUUUUAAUGUUGUGACAAAUAUUUUAUUUUAUUUUUUACCAAACAAGUUUUCCGUUGAAAAGCUACGCAGAGCUAUA